rnacentral:rRNA from 1 species
CUGGAACUGCCAUCAAAACUUUUCAGCUAGAGUUUGAUAGAGGAAAGCAGAAUUUCUAGUGUAGAGGUGAAAUUCGUAGAUAUUAGAAAGAAUACCAAUUGCGAAGGCAGCUUUCUGGAUCAUUACUGACACUGAGGAACGAAAGCAUGGGUAGCGAAGAGGAUUAGAUACCCUCGUAGUCCAUGCCGUAAACGAUGUGUGUUAGACGUUGGAGAUUUAUUUUCAGUGUCGCAGCGAAAGCGAUAAACACACCGCCUGGGGAGUACGACCGCAAGGUUAAAACUCAAAUGAAUUGACGGGGACCCGCACAAGUAGUGGAGCAUGUGGUUUAAUUCGAAGAUACGCGCAGAACCUUACCAACACUUGACAUGUUCGUCGCGACUUUAAGAGAUUAAAGUUUUCGGUUCGGCCGGACGAAACACAGGUGCUGCAUGGCUGUCGUCAGCUCGUGUCGUGAGAUGUUGGGUUAAGUCCCGCAACGAGCGCAACCCUCACUUUUAGUUGCCAUCAUUUAGUUGGGCACUCUGAAAGAACUGCCAGUGAUAAGCUGGAGGAAGGUGGGGAUGACGUCAAGUCCUCAUGGCCCUUACGUGUUGGGCUACACACGUGCUACAAUGGUAUUUACAACAGGAAGCAAGACGGCGACGUUAAGCAAAUCCUUAAAAAAUACCUCAGUUCGGAUUGCACUCUGCAACUCGAGUGCAUGAAGCUGGAAUUACUAGUAAUCGUGGAUCAGCGUGCCACGGUGAAUGCGUUCCCGGGUCUUGUACACACCGCCCGUCACACCAUGGGAGUUGGUUCUACCUUAAGGCAAGGUUUAAAAUCCUUGACCACGGUAUAGUCAGCGACUGGGGUGAAGUCGUAACAAGGUAGCCGUA